rnacentral:rRNA from 1 species
UACAGAGGGUGCGAGCGUUAAUCGGAAUUACUGGGCGUAAAGCGUGCGUAGACGGUAGCGUAAGUCAGAUGUGAAAGCCCCGGGCUCAACCUGGGAACUGCAUUUGAGACUGCUCUGCUCGGGUGCGGAAGAGGGAAGCGGAAUUUCCGGUGUAGCGGUGAAAUGCGUAGAUAUCGGAAGGAACACCUGUGGCGAAAGCGGCUCACUGGACCAUUACUGACGCUGAGGCACGAAAGCUAGGGGAGCAAACAGG